rnacentral:lncRNA from 1 species
CAAAACAAAACAAGCAACAUCCAAGGUGAGGUCAUCUGUUCUUAGAAGGAAGAAAGAUGACCUUGGAAGGAAGCAAGAAACAGGGGCCUGCAGGCAUGGGGUUUAUUAUACAUCAGCUAGUGCAAUAAUCACUCAUUUAUUACAGCCUUCAUCACUUCUGUAAUGAAGCUGUGUGAAUAUUUUUCAUGCCUAAGGACAAAAUAGCAGAGAAGGAAUAUUGCUCAACUAGAUGAGAUUAAAGGCCAUGGUGAAAUGGCUGUUGUUCCGGGCUGAACUGAGUCUCAUCCCCCAAAAUUCAUAUGUUGAAAUCUUAACCCCCAAUACUUCAGAAUGUGACUGUAUUUGGAGAUGGGGUCUUCACAAAGGUUAAAAAGAGGCCAACAGAGUGGGUCUAAAUCAAUAUGACUAUUAUCUUUAUAUAAAGAGGAAAUUUGGACACAGACAGAGGGAGGAUGUUGUAAAGACAUAGGGAGACAGUGGCCAUCUACAAGCCAAGGACAGUGUCCUGGAACAGAUCCUUUGCUCAUUGCCCUGAAGGAACUAACACUGCCAACAUCUUGAUCUCAGACUUCCAGCCUCCAGAAUUGUGAGGCAAUACAUUUCCAUUGUUCUAGCCACCCAGUCCAUGGCACUUCCUUAUGGUAUCCCUAGCAAACUAGUAGAGAAUUCUAAAUAGAACCCUGGGCAGCCAAAUGAACAGUUGCCCUGCGGACUAGCCUCAGUCUAGUCUGAACACUCCCUCCUGGAAGGAUUUUCAACUCUUUAGCCCCACCUAAUCACUUCUUGUCCUUAUGAGCAGUCAAGAGCCCUGCCAUAGCCUUCCAGUGCCCAGCCCAUAGCCUAGAUAGAUGACAGAGAAGAGCCUUGACAAGUCUCACCUACUUCACAGCACCUUGCAAUAGAUACCUUUACAAUGGAAAUUCUCUGGCAAAGGACAAGCCCAUCCCAUGUGCCUGUGGUAUUUUUACCAGCCCAUUACAAAGAGAAACUCCUUGGCACAAUUCCUCAUGGACACAUAUUGCUGAAGCUUGUUCAAGAUUUUUAAAAAUUUUUUAUAUUCAGGCACCUUAUAAAAUUUAUUCUUCACAUCCCUUUGGUGGAGCCCUGAGCCACUUGCAGUGUGAAGCAGCCCAAACCAUAAAUCACUGUUUGUUCAAAUAAACUAUUUAAAAUUUUAAUGUGCCUAAGUUUACCUUUUAAUAGGGAAAAAUGUGUAACUUACAUGCAAAUGUUGGUGGGGGAGGGGAGAAGGGAAAGACUUAGAUUAGAUAAGCUAAUAUUUUAACUCAGAAAAGAAUACCACAGUAAUUCCAAAUAAAAUAUAGGGAAAGAAAUAUAAAGGUAAUAGUUGAAAUUGAAGAAAUAGAAAAUAAGGAAAUAUGAGCAACAUUGGUAGCAACUUAGUCAUUACAAUUUCUCAGGCUUUGCAAAGUUGCCUGGGAUAUCUUUGACUCUUUCCUAUCUCUCACAUCCCACAUACAAUUGGUAAGUUCUGUUGGCUUGACCAUCAGAAUGAAAUAUUCAGAAUCUAACCCUUCUCACCACCUUGGCCUAAGCCACCAUCAUCUCUCACAGCCACUGCCAUAGCCUGCAACUGCAUUUCUUGCCCUCUCUUUUGGCCCCUUCAGUCUAUUUGCAACACAGCAGUCACGAUUUUUUUUUUUAAGUCAGUCAAGUCAUGUUACAUCUCUGUGCAAAAGUCUCCAAGCCUUUUCUCUCAGAUUGAAACCUGAAGUCCUAACAAUGGACUGUAAGGCCCUAACUGAGCUAAUCCACCCCACUCCAAGAGUCCUUUGCCUUAUGCUACAAUCACUCACUAUUGCAGCCAGUAGUUCUCCUUGCCCUUCCUCACUCUAGAUGGCUUCCUGCCUGAGGGUCUUUGCCCGGCUGUUCCUUCUGCCUGGAAUGCAUUUCCCUUAUGUAUCUACAUGGCAGUUCCUUCCCCUCCUUCAAGUCUUUGCUUGUCAAGUGCUCUCUUGUCUACUCUCACAUCCUAUUUCAGUUGUAACCUGCUUGUGUUCCUCACUUCAUUUCUCUCAAUCAUCCUUACCCUGGUCUAUUUAUUUGUUAGCAAUCAUCACCUUCUAAUCUACUAUGGAAUUUGCCAAGUUAUUAUACUUAUUUUCUAUUAGUGGUCAGUCCACAUUAGAAUGUACUUUUGAACAAAGCAGGGAUUUUUAAAAUCCAUUUUGUUCACUCUACUGCCUAAAAUAGUACCUGUCACACACAAAGAGCCAGUACCCAAAACUGGCUCUUUGAAAAGAAUAAUGAGCUAGAUGUACUUUUGAUAAGACAGAGUAACAGAACAAAGGGAAGUUAAAAGUAAACAAUAUCAGGAAUAAAAAAGGUAUAUAAAUACAGACAGUAGAUUUCCUUACACCAUAAAAAAGUUUAUAUCCACCCCAAAACUGAAAAUACUGAUAUUUUGCUAGAAAAUGGAUCAUUUCCUAGAAAAACGUAACUUACCAAAACUUAGUCAAGAAAGGAAAAACAGAAAAUCAAAUGUAAAACUAUAGCAUAAAGGAAUUGAAACACUAGUUUCAAAACUAUCCCUCAGAAAAGUCUAAGAGGCCUGAGAGUUUCACAGAGGAAUUCUAUUGAUCCCUAGCUUACACAUGCUGUUCCAGGAAUAGAAAAUGGGAGACAGGAUUCCAGUUCAUUCUAUGAGAAUAUCCGAAGUACCAAAAGUGCAAAGGACAGGGGAGAAGGAAAAACUAAAGGCUACUUUCAUUUAUAAACAUAAACAGAAAUCUAAGAUAAAAUAUCAGCAAAUCUAAAUCCAUCCAGGAUAACAAGACCACAAAGUACAUCAUGGCCCAGCAAGGUUUGCUGGGCCAAUUCUUUGCAAAGAAUUAAAGGCUGUUUUAACAUUAAAAAAAGUAUUAAUAUAAUUCACGUAUGAACAAACUAAAGAAGAAAAACCAUAUGCUCAUCUCAACGGAUGAGCAGAAAAAAAGAACACUUGACAAAAUUCAACCCUCUUUAACAUAAGAAAGGAUAUCUCCUAAAAGCCUACAGUAAGGAUUAGAUUUACUGGGAAAUAUUAGAAGUAUUCCAUUUAGAACAGGGAACAGAUAAGAAAUGUCUGCUAUCACUGCUUCUAUUAAAUAUUGUGCUAGAGGACCUAGUCCUAACCACUGAAACAAGACAAUGCAAUGGGAUAAAAGUUAUAAAGUUUGAAAAGGGAGAGAAGAAAAUUGCCAGUAUUUGAAGCUGAUAAAUAGGGAAGCAUAUUCAGAUACUGCCUCUACCUAGCCACCACUCCAACCAAAGAACAGUGACACAUGAGUAUCUGGCCAGGCUGACCAGAGAUUUAUAAACAAUAGAAAUGAGGGGUGCAGAAUGAAAUACUGGCUUGUCUGAGUCUGAAAAUAGCCUAUAGUUUUCUAUUCUUGAGUCUUUGACACUGAAGAAGUGUUAGAGAAGGGUGAGUAAGGCCUGGUAACACCCAUGUUUCCAUAAUGGAAAGUGACUCUCAGGCAUAUAUGACAGAGCUCCCUUCACCCGCCUGGGCUGCUCAUGGUUCCCAUGGGUGGCCUCUGUGAUCUGCAAAUGCUGGAAAUGUGCUACUCUGCACUCCCACCUGCACCUGUCUCAGGUGUGUUCUGUAGAUCGGUAUCCCCCAUGGGCUUUUGUUUCGUAGAAGUGUUAUUUUGCUAAAACAGUUUUGAUUCUGUGGCCUGGACCAAGAAGGGAAGGGUGUUCUGGCAGUGACAGAGUUGGCACAAAACCACAUCAGACACUUUGUUAUCAAAUGUGGAGAUGACAGAGGAGCCAUCGGUGCAUGUGUCGGGAAGCAGGCACCCUCCUCCAGGCUCCUCGGGAAGACACUGCAGGAGGGGAGGAGGGCGGAGGCCCCCUCCCAAUAGCUGACUUGAGGGUGGCUCUGCCACGCAUGCAGGGUGCAGCACCACCUUCAGGCCCAGGCUGGCCUUACAGAGGCUGGUGUCACAGGCUGCUUCUGCCACCAGCUCAGCACUAUGGGCCACUGAACUUCCUGCCACCCCCUUGAGCCCUGGGCUCCCCACAGACAGAGCUGUGCUAUCAGAUGACCUGUGGAUUGAGGCAUCAGCAGCCAGGAGUGUCUCUGAAAUGGGCCACCCUCUGGAACCCUUCUUUGGCUGAAUUGUUUCAGGAUGAGUGUCAUUUAAUCAAUCUGCCUAACGUCAGGAAGUAGAGAUGAGGACUGCAGCCCGCUCAAUUUCUUUCUUCUCAGUUACCAAGGCUUUUGGCUUAUUGAAUGUGUCCUGUGUGCCUGGGCCUGGGUGAGGCUCUGGGGAUUCAAGGAUGAAGAAGACGCCAGCCAUAACUGCCCUUUGGGAGCUCAAAGUCUAGCGGAGAAAGGGAAAAUAAGCAGGCCCCACAGCAAAUAGGGAUGUAAGAUCUGUGACCAGGAAACAUAGGUACUGAGAGAACACAAAGAAAGACCACCUACCCCAGAUGGAGGAAGACUUGUGCAUCCACCUGGAGGAGAGGACGCCUGAGCCAGCCUGGAAGCUCAAGGGCCAGGUUGAUCAAGGAGCUCAACAAUCUAAAGCUCCACAGUCCAAGGAAAAACUAGGUGUGACUGGGGUUGUCAUGAAAGAUUGUGUGGGUACACAGCCAGGAAAGUGAGUGGAGGCUGAACUUCCAAGAGGCCCAUGUGGGUCAGCUACUGCCCUUGUGUGACAGCAGGCACCUGGAUACCUCCUGAACCUCCUCCCUCCCGAUCAUUUGAGCUCUUCCUUUCCUUUACCUUGAGCUCUCUGCAUCCGGCAUCUUCUUUCUGUCCACCUACUUCAUCUAGGCUGUCUGAAGUCAAUUACAUCCUUUUUCCUUUUCCCUUUGGCAUAUUUCUAUCCCUCCCAGCCACACACACACACACACGCACACACACUUCUAUCUCUGCCUAUCCAUCAACUCACUUAAUUUCUGAGACAGCACUACUAAAAGUAAGAAUAAGGAACAUUAACUUAAUAAAUAUUGUUGCUGUUGACAGUGAAACACUCAGUUAAGGUGGGAAAGGAAGAGAAGCGGAUGGGAAAUAGAGAAUGCCUCACUGGGUAAGUGUGAAAAGAAAGACACCAGAGACAAACAAAGGCAAGAAGACCAGGCAAGGAAAUACCCAGGCCCUGCUAACAUGUUAUUAUAAGCCCACUUCCUGCCCAGAGCAUCUAGAAUGAUUCCCACAUAUGUGGCUGGAACCUGAUCAGCUUCUGCGCUGACCCUAACCCUGCUAUCUGGUUCAGAAUUUCUGAGCUUCUCUUAUCUGUGUGACAGAGGCCCCAGGCUUACCGACAGAUGAGCUUCCAAAAAGAGUUUGAUGCCAAUUUGCUAUAGUCCUCCCACUCCUCAACCUUCAAAUCAGGACAACUAGCAAAUGCCUUCCAGCCCCUAAGGAGGCCUGGGGCUCCUGAGCAGGGACAAAGUGGGCCUGCCAAGCCCACUUCUCAGAACGGGACCCACAGCUCUCCUAGGUGAUACCUCCCACCUUCUCUCCAAGGUGGCUCAUGACAGCCCUGUUCCCUCCACUUCCAUCAGCCUAGACAACAAUUUGCUAAUAAUAAAAUCACAAAGGAAUAAGCAACUGCAAAAGUCAGGCCCUGUGCACAGAUGAUCCCAUUCAGUCCUUACAGCAUUCCUAUCUGGUAAGGAUCAUCUCUAGCUACAGGUAAAGAAAGCCACUUCCUCAAGGUCACAUAGCUACAAAGAAACAGAGCCAGGAUUCCAGUCUGGGUUAGCCCGACCCAGACAGAGCCUAUUCCCCAUCAGCUCAGCCCAUUGCCUCCUCUAAGCAUCAAUGUCUGCAAUAUUCACUGGACAUCUGCUCUAUACAGAGCACAGCACUAACUAUGCUAAAAGAGACAGAAGCCUCAAAUCCUCACCUUUUAGGGACAACUAAUUGAGGUAGGAGAAAGCACAUACAGAGCUCAACAGCACCUCUGAAAAACCACCCAUGAGUGCAAGGAGAGCAUGCAGUCACCCAGUGGAACUUUGUAGCAGGGAGGGGUGCUGAGCAGAAAAAGAAUGAGUACAAGGGAGAUAGGAAUACAGAAGCCCCCUUGAAAGAUGCAAAGAACAGAAAUCAAUCCAAAGGUGAUGUGAGCAACCCCAGGCAGAAGCAAUGACAUAUUCUAGAGCCAGGGAAUGAGAAUUAAAUGUCCAGCGGAGAAGACAGAAAAGCAGCCUGCUAUUGUGAGUAGAGGGAGGGGAUUUUUCUAAGG